rnacentral:rRNA from 1 species
AACGCGAAGAACCUUACCUGGGCUUGACAUGUGGGUGACAGCCGUGGAAACACGGUCUGGGACACCUACAGGUGCUGCAUGGCUGGAGCGUGGUGAGAUGUUGGGUUAAGCCGCAACGAGCGCAACCCUUGCUUAGUUGCUACGCAAGAGCACUAAGGAGACUGCCGGUGACAAACCGGAGGAAGGUGGGGAUGACGAAGCAUGGCCCUUAUGGGUAGGGCUACACGAUACAAUGGGGAACAGAGGGUUGCCAACCCGCGAGGGGGAGCUAACCAGAAAACCGAGUAGCGGAUUGCACUGCAACGAGUGCAUGAAGCUGGAAGCUAGUAAGCGGAAGCAUGCCGCGGUGAAUACGUCCGGGUUGUACACACCG